GAUGAACGCUAGCGGCAGGCCUAACACAUGCAAGUCGAGGGGCAGCACAGGUAGCAAUACUGGGUGGCGACCGGCGGAUGGGUGCGUAACGCGUAUGCAACCUACCAUUGAUUGGGGCAUAGCCCGAAGAAAUUCGGAUUAAUACUCCAUAAUAUUCAUCAAAGGCAUCUUUUAUGAAUUAAAGCUUUUGCGAUCAAUGAUGGGCAUGCGUGACAUUAGUUAGUUGGUGAGGUAACGGCUCACCAAAACGAUGAUGUCUAGGGGUUCUGAGAGGAUUAUCCCCCACACUGGUACUGAGACACGGACCAGACUCCUACGGGAGGCAGCAGUGAGGAAUAUUGGUCAAUGGGCGCAAGCCUGAACCAGCCAUCCCGCGUGCAGGAAGACGGCCCUAUGGGUUGUAAACUGUCUUUUCCAGGGAGAGAACUUACGCACGUGUUGCGUGACUGACGGUACCCUGGGAAUAAGCAUCGGCUAACUCCGUCG
rnacentral:rRNA from 1 species